AAAAUAUCGAAUAUGUAGAUAUAUAAUUUAUCUAAAUUCUGUUUUUGAUGCAAGAAAAUAAAUCGAUAUAUUUGAAAGUACAACACAGAAGGAUUAUUGCGCUCAUCACGUUCAAAGCGAUUGUAAGUAGUAGUACAUAUAUCGUUCGAUUUGGAUCGAAUGUCUGCAUUCCCCACGCUUGUUCCUGCAUCUCUAGAAAUAGGACACUUUCAGCGAUUUCCUCGACCACUUAUAUUGUCAUCUCAACACCUAAAUAAUACAAUCGUCUACCGCAGUGCAGUGUGGAGGUACUUGAAAUAUCUUUCCAAAAAAACUUCGAAACUAGCGAAAGUUUCGUAGUUAUCGAACUGUUAUUCUGUUACCCUAAAUGUGCGGGCCCCAGAAAUCGGUAAAUAGAAUUUUACAUUUCCUGCGUAAACUACACUUUGC
rnacentral:misc_RNA from 1 species